rnacentral:ncRNA from 1 species
UCUAAGCGCGUGUCGUAGAACAAUGUUUCUAAAGCUAACGCCCUUUAGUCGCGCCGUUCGAAUGUAUUGGCUAGUCAUUACUUCCGCCAUGGAUGCUCUGGUCAUGCGGGCAAUGUAACCCAUUCCGUAAAGUGCUAUUGUCAGGACUGGUAAAAGAAAAUUUUCAA